CUUGAGCAUUAAGAAAUUAUAUUGCAAGACCUAAAGAAACCUUGAUGGCUUGAAUUACUCCUUCAUUCUGUGAGUGCAAUAUUUAUUGCAGGGAUAUCUCUACUAAACGGUGUUUCCCUAUGAAUGUUCUCUGCUUUUGUUUUUUCUAGUUUUAUUCUAUAGUAUUUCUCAUUCUCUCCCUUCUUAAUCUGAUAGCCCUGUGCAGCCUGUUACUAGUUUUGUUACUAGUUUGGGGUAUGCUGAAUCUCAUAUAGAUUCUUACGUAUUUUGACGUAUCCAUGAUGUAUC